rnacentral:lncRNA from 1 species
GCCAGCACUAUCUCUGUUUUCAGUAGAGUUUCUGGAAGUGGAGUUACUGCACAUCUUCUCAUCUCCAAGUAGUCCUCCUUCCUUGGCCUAGUGCUUCUUGCCUUGAAGAUGCUAAUCUGGAUCUCUGUUGUGAGUAGUGCUGACCUGACAGAGGGCACAGCUUUAAUCCAUGGGUUUCCUUGAACUGGUCAAAGGGAGCUCACCAGAACCUGCAGGUAGUGUGGCAGCUUCCUGCUUUGAUCCACAAAGGUUGGGAUAGGGCUUAACCUGCAGGGCUUGACAACCCUCCUCUUUCUGGUCUAAACCAACAACAGUUCUAUUAGCUUUAACUGAUUCCUCUGCUACUUUAGUCUUCAUUUCUUGGCCAGCACUAUCUCUGCUUUCAUUAGAUUUUUUAUCCACUUCUGAGCUCCAAGUAGUUCUUCUUCCUUGGCCUUCUGCUUCUUACCUUGAGGAUGCUCAUCUAGACCAACCUCCCCUUUCUGGUCUAGACCAACAACAGUUUUAUUAGCUUUAACUGAUUCCUCUUGUACUUUAGUCUUCAUUUCUUGGCCAACACCAUCUCUGCUUUCAGUAGAUUUUUUUGACGUGGAUGAAGUGGAGUUACUGCACAUUUUCUUAUCUCUAAUUAGUCCUGAAACCCUGGCCUUGUGCUUCCUACCUUGAAGAUGCUCAUCUAGACCUCUCUCGGUAGUAGCACUGACCCGACAGAGGGCACAACUCCACUCCUUGGGUUUGUUUGAACCCGUUGAAGGAAGCUCUCCAGGACCUACAGGUGGUGUGGCAACUUUCUGCUUUGAUCCACAAGUAUUGGAAUCAGGCUGAGGCUGGAAAUGGUACAGAAACCAUUAUGCCUUAUAUUAGUUAUCACAUCAAUGGUAAAAAUAUAAAAUAUUCCCAGUGAGCUCCGUCAUCUGCUAUUGUAGUACAGAUGAAAGAAUUUGUUUACAAAAUAGUUAAUACAACCAGAAUCCUUGUUAAUUAACAACAUUUCCAGCAAGAAAAUCUUUCCUUCCAAAAAACAAAAAAAAAAGGAAUAUGUUUGAAUAGGAUUCUGAAAGACUUUCUUAAUAAGCUGGACUAGAAGAGAUGAUAUUAACACUUACGAGCAUUAUAAUUCAUAAUUUGAGGAAACACCAUUUCAAUGGAGCCUCCAGCCCAACGCACAUACACAAAGACAAGCAAUAAGAUUUAAAAUAAGAAAUUACCGGGAAAAAGAAACAUCGGAAAUCAAUCUGUACAAGUUCAUAUGACACUUCAUGGUAAACAUAUGUAACCUCUCUUGGAACCUUAGCCUGCGAGAAGCUCACAUUUGCUCCGUGUUUUCGUUCAAAAAAGGUUUCAGACACACAUUGAUUCCAGGCUGUGGGGGAUCAUACGUCCUCACUGCCAAAUUUUAAAGCCACAUACAUUGGCAUUUGCACGCAUGGUCAAGAGUUGCACAACUCUCUCGUCUACUUGAGUUGACCACGCAAACUGAACUUGCGAACUUUGACCAACAUAAAUAACCAAAUGCUAUGAUGUUUGGAACUAAAUCAAGAUAGCGAGUCCAAAUGUACUCCCCAACAAACUUGUCACCUGUGCAUCAAGACCAAGUCUUUUGGCACUAAGAGUGGACAUGGGAAUCUCUAAGCAACGACCUCCUAAUAACAUACAAAUCCAGGUUACUGAUAAUGCUCAUCGAUUUAAAGGCUUACAAGUUUACAUAGAGGUAAGUAAAGAAUUUGAUAAUAAUUGAAACAGAGUUCGAACGCCAAACAAUAAUAAUAAAGAUAAAUUUAAUCUAUAAUAUCAACUAAAAAGUUGUGAUAUAUAUAUAUUUUUUAAUUUGAUUUUUUGUGCAGCAUCAGUUCUAUGGAAAAUCGGUGCCUUUUGUAUCAUGUAAAGAUGCCCUACAGAAUGCAACUCUUAGUGGAUAUUUCAACUCUGCUCAAGUGCGAUUACAGAUGACGUGAUUUCAUUGGAUAGUUCCAUUGAGACCAUCAAAUAAACAACAUGUCGCAAUGAAUUAGUCUUUCGCCUAACAAUACCUAUUUUAUGUACAUCUCUUAAUUUUAUUUAUAUGACUAUACGAUGGUUGUCGAAGCCAACAAAAAUAAAUUCCUACUCUAAAUAAAUUGUGUAUAGUGAUUGAGCAGGGUCGUGUCCACAGAGAUCGGUAAUUAUUUAAAUCCUUUUGAAACGUAAAACGUAAAAUGGGGGAAUUGUUGACAAUAAUAAAAAUCAAAUUAAAAUAACAAGAAUGCAAAUUAAAGUUGUAAUUCAAAUUGGAGAAAACUCUGGUUGAAGGAAUUAACUCAGCUUGAUUCGACUAUUGAUCAUUGAUUCAAAUAUAUAUUAUUAUUACUUAUGAAUAGACCGGUUAUAGCUACUGAGACCCUCUAAUAGCCAAUAUCUCCUUAAUUAGUCGAUAACCAAGGUAUGACCGUUGGUUAUUUCCCUAAUCAAUAGAUAACCCUAGAUACGAUCAUAGGAUUUAAUCAAUUGACAGCCUGAAAAACCAGAGAGACCCAAAUCCUAAUCAACACAUAUGAUUAUUCAUUUAAAUUAGAUUGUUUAUUCUCACAACACAACUCUCUGCUAUGUUAUUUGUCACAAACAUUAAAUUCUUCAUACGAUGAAUCCUUUAAUUGACAAUAGAUUAAGUUGAUAAUUAAAUAGUGGCCAAUUACCUAAUUAACAAACAUAAUCAUGAAAAUAAUUCAGAGAAUAAACAAAUACCCAAAAAGCAAUAAAACAAUUAAAGCAUAAAAUAGAUCUCACAGUAGUGAUGAAUCAAAGCUUCAUUAUCCUUCAACCAGAAAAAUAGGUUUAGUGCUUCAUAGAGAGAAGAGAAAAGUUUAGACCUAAGGUUUCUUUCUCUUCUCCAAAAGUCUCCUUUUUCACAAUAGAUUCCUCCCUUAAAUACUCUCUCUCUCUUCUCUUUUAGAAUUCUAUUUAAAAUAAAAUACUAAUAACUGAAAUAUUAAAUUCGUAAUUACAAAAUAACCAAAAAUACAAAACAUGUUAAACUAAAAACUGCAGGCCCGCAGUUGACAGCACGCGCCCACGCCUUAUCAACAAAGUUCUUCUGACGCUCUAAAUUUCUCCAAGAGAACAAUCAUCUUUAAACAACAUCUUAUAGCUCAAUUUUAUCACAAAUCAAUAGAACUGCACCCACAAAAGUAAAACACAAGUAAAUCACUAUUAUUAAGUGCAAAACAUCGAUAUUAAGGGAAGUAAACAAUGCAAAACUAGUGCAUAAAUUGCACUCUAACACUAGUCAAGUUAUUUUAUAUUAAAUAUAUUUAUGAAUGAUUAAAAAUAUUUUUCUUCUUUAUCUUAUUAUUAUUAUUAUUAAUAUAGGGGGUUUCUCAUGUAGACAUGCAGUGAAAUGGUCUCACCAAUUGGAAUUGGCCAAAAGGAAACAAUGUUUCAAGCAUACCCAUUUUAUCUGACAGAAUAUAUGGAUUCAUGCAAUAAGUCUUUUGGAGUGGUUCCAAGACCACAUUGGAUUACAACUUAUUAUGGUGGUCAUGUAAGUGUCAAUUAAUCCCCAAAUUAAUUCUUUUAAUUUUCUCUUUUUCUUUUUUUUUCUUUUUUUAAAUUAAAAACUUCACCUCGUUCUUGAGUUUGAUUUUUAUUUCUUUUUAAUUUGUAGGAUAUACGAGUGGUUUUAAAGAGAUUUGGUAGCAACAUUGUUUUCUCUAAUGGCCACCGCGAUCCCUGUAGCAGCGCUGGGUAAUUUAGCUUAAGAAUUUUGGAUAUUCUUUUCUAUUGAAGUUACCCGUUUUAUUAUAUACCUUUUUCUUUUUCUUUCUUUGUUUGGGAUUAUAGGGUUCUGGAAAAUAUAUCAAACAAUAUAAUAGCAGUGACAACAAAAAACAGUAUGUAACUUUUUCUAUAAAAUAAAAAAUUAGUGUUCAAUUAUUAACUAAAUUAUUGGAUAACAUAAUUAAUAGUGUGUAAAUUGGAGCAGGUUCCCAUUGCUUAGACAUACAGCCAGCAACAGAAGAUGACCCCGAAUGGUUAGUAAUGCAGCGAAAGAUUGAAAUGGACAUGGUUCAUGAUUGGUUCCUCAAAUACUCUGCUGAUUUGCUUCAAAAUCAGAGCAUAAGAUUAAAUUUGGACUACAAAAUUAGUCUUUUCUUUUUCUCCCUCUCCUCUAUCUUUCUAAUAUUUAAGGAGCAAAGAUAAAUAAUAGUGCACCUAGCUAGUUGUAGAUUUCAUUUUCAUAAUUCUUAAUCUGGGUUGUCUAAAUGUGUAGAACAAGUGUGCAGUUUUACUUAAUGUAAAGCACGUACAAAGGUUCAAUCUUUAUGUAAUAAUCAUACGGUGAAUAUCAAUUCAUACACAACCACAUUGGAUUAACCAUUUUCUCCCUUUGAUUUAGGAGUUACUGUAUAGGUCCUUGAAGCCGGUGGGAGAAAAAGAAUUUGCCCUCCAGAUACAUGUAUCUCUCAAAACUUAGGUGUUUAUCCUUACACGCUCCGUUUAUUAGUAGCCAAGCUUAUGAGUAUAUUGCUCCAGGUGAACCUGUUCCUAUUCUCCUACAUAAUAGCUUCUUUUGUUAAUUAUUUGACAAUCCCAUGCAAUUCCGAACAUGACUUAGGAUCAGUUUAAGAUUUUGGUGGCUGUUGAAAUAAGCUGCUUCUGCGAUGUGAAUGGAAUUAUCUAAUGAUUAUAAAAGUAGCUCACUCAGUGUUUGGUAAAUUUGAUUACGAAAAUAAUAUUUUAUUAUAUAAUCAUUAAAAUAAACAUAAGUUUAAAUUGUCUUUUACUUAUAUAUUAGGAUUUUUUAAAAAAUAAGAUACACUUAUUCUUUUCUUAAAAUAUUAAAGUUAUAAUAGAAACUUUAAAAAAAAUGGCAUUUUAUUUAAUAAGUUGCUUAUAAAAGACAAUCUCAUACUUAUUUUAAGAGUUAUUGUCAAAAUGGAGAAAAUAUGAAUUAAACUUUUAACAAAUUUAUCAAACAUCAUUUUUAUCAAAACUUAUAAGUAUUUCAACCGUUAUCCCAAAUAGGACAUUAGGCUUUGUGCAGAAUAAAGUUAGGCAUUGAAUAUUUGCACACGUAUAAACUAAAUAUCUGGAUUGAAGAAACAGCUUGACUCAAUAAGUCUACUUCAUUCUUUAUUUUCCACAGCACAUGUCAAGACGUAAGUUCCAAAUAAUUGCUGACUAGGGGAAGCAGUCUUUAAAGUCAAGGUGAUUAGAUUAGCAUGUUUCGGCAUUACGUAUCGGAGGGGUUCCUUGCCCUCAACUUAAAAAAGAUGCCUUAAAAUUAAAUAUUUAAAUAAUAUGGCAUUUAUUAAAUUUUAAAAAAAAUGUAAAAUACAUAAAAAAUAUAUUAAAAAAAACCUUUUUUUAAAGUGUGCAUAGGUUUGAACGGAAACUAUAGGAUCGUAUCACAUUGAAUUUGUGUACUUAGGAUGGGGCACGGAAGAGAGAGCGUCUUGGUUUAUAUUUUACUUAUACACACAUGAGUAAUUAUAUACAAACCUUUCAUGCCUUUGCUAUCUUUUUCAUGUGGGACAAAUAUAAUUUCCUUUACUUUUCCAAUUCCAUGAAUUUACUUUGAGUAACAAUUUCUCAUUUAUCCAAGGGUUAUUUUGAUUAUAUAGGUAAAAUCAUUCUGAAGUAUUUACGGAGGAAUAUUUGAAACAACAGAUAAGUCUCACUCAAAAUCACGCAUCAAAUAGUAACUUGUGCUAUAUUUCCAACACUUUUUGCUUCUUUUCCUUGUUUGAUUUCAUGAAAAAAAUUGAGUGCAAUGAAAUUUUUAUCUUCUUUUGUCUAUGAUGUUUUGGUGUAAAAUAAAAAAUAAAAAAAUAAGAGGGAUAUUAGGUAGCCCAUGAAUUUCCAAUUUUCCAUAUAGUUUGCAUGUUGCAAAAGGAGUUUUGUAACUAUUUUAAAAAAUAAAGGGAUUAUUUUAUUAUUUUGUCAAAUCACAGAAGUCUACAAAUUCUUUUCUCUACAGCUUAUUAUAAUAAUACACCUACAAGUUUUUUUUAUACUUAAAUUUAUACAAAGAUAUGAUUAGUCUUGUUUAUUUUUCUAUUUGAGUCAUAUUUUACAACAACAAUCCUUCGAGCUUUUUUUUUUCUUUAUUAUUUUGGGUAAUAUUUAAUAUCUUAAUAGCGCUAUUAAUUAUUUCUAAUAUUGUCCAUAUUAUCUCAUGUUUCUGCAAAGUUGUUCAAAUAGAUCUACACCUCACAAAUACAAGCCGAUAAGGUUAUAUCUCCAUGAUUGAAUCCAUCCAGAGAAGACAUUGACUCACACUAUUUGAAAACGCGUAUUGGAAGUUAACACCGGGAGCUUGCAAAACAAUUAAUUCUUAUAUAAACGCUUUGCAAGGAAUCAAAUAGCCAGCUCAAUCAACCGAAAACCAUUAUAAACAUGGCAGCAGCAUCCACUGUUUCGAGAUUGGUGGUCAUUUUAAUUUUAAUAAAUGUUGGUGCUAUAAGUGAUACGACAAUAUCUGUAACGGCAUCAGCUGCAAGAUUAUUGUCGUCACCCAUACUGUUAGAAAGGGAAGCUUUACUUGCUACCGGCUGGUGGGUCAACAAUUGGGCGACGUCGGGCAACUACACGUCCGAUCAUUGUAAGUGGACUGGCGUCAGUUGCAAUUCAGCGGGAAGCGUAAUCGGGGUCAGCUUACUCUGGUAUGAAAAUGAUAACAUCAAAGGAGAGCUCGGUUGUUUCAAAUUCUCUUGCUUUCCGAACCUCAGAAAUUUCAAAAUUCGUACAAAUUAUGUUCUCUCUGGGCGCAUUCCAUCUGAAAUUACUGCCCUUUCAAUGCUCCAAACUCUUGAACUGCCCUACAACGGCCUUACCGGUAAGCUGUGAAACUUCACCAUAUAUAUAUAUAUGUAUGUAUAAAAUCGCGCUGCUGCUUAAAGCAGGCGUCUGUUUUUACAACACUAAAGAAGUGUGAGUCGUCCGCACUUGAGCUUGACUCUCCCUCUAUGUAAUUUUUUUUUAAUGAAGAUAGUGAAUACUGAUCUCGUUUUUCAUAAAUCACAUGCACAACAGGAAUUAUCCCUUUAGAGAUGGGGCGAUUAAGGAAUCUCGUCCACCUGGAUCUAUCUGAUAAUCACCUCAUGGGACAUAUCCCUCCAACUCUUGGUGGUCUAAGCAAAUUGAAAAUUUUGAACUUGUCUUUUAACUCCCUUGUCGGUAAUAUCCCAUCCAAUGUAGGUCAUCUAACCCAGCUAACUACUUUGGCUAUUGCCUCAAACCAAAUGAAUGGUUCCAUCCCAUCAGGAAUCGGGAGUUUGAAGGUUCUUCAAGCUCUUGACCUGUCCAGAAAUGAAAUUGGAGGUUCAAUUCCUUCAACACUUGGCCAUUUAAAGUGGUUGAGAAGUGUAGACUUGUCCCAAAACAAACUUGUUGGCCCAAUCCCUUCGUCUCUGGGUCAUUUGACUCAAUUAACUACUUUGAAUAUGUACAACAACAAACUUGAUGGCCCAAUUCCUCCAGAACUCAUGAAUUGCUCAAAGCUGAGGAUAUUAAAAUUGGGAAACAACUUGUUAAGCGGAAGCAUUCCGUCACAGAUCGGCAAACUUCAAGAACUAUAUUAUCUUGAUCUAAGCGGUAACUUCAUUAAUGGUAAAAUACCUUCCCAACUUGGAGAAUUUCCACGCAUAGACACUGUGGACCUUUCCAUGAAUACUGCUGUACGGCCAAGGCGGAUGUACGGUACAGCAGACUUGUCCCAAAACAAACUUGUUGGUCCAAUCCCUUCGUCUGUAGGUCCUUUGACUCAGCUAACUACUUUGAAUAUGCACUCAAACCGAAUCAAUGGUUCCAUCCCAUUAGAAAUCGGGAAUUUGAACUUUCUUCAAGUUCUUGGCCUGUCCGACAACAAACUUGAAGGUCCAAUUCCUUCGACCAUAGCUAGUUUAGUCACUGUACGGCCAAGGCGGAUGUACGGUACAGCAGUGAAAUUUCAAUUUUGGAGCUUAGAAACCAAGAAAUGUAUUUGGUUGAUUAAUGUGAUUUUUCCAAUAAAGGAGACUGUUAAUUGGUUGUGAAAUUAUUAGGUAGUAGCAAUGUAGCAAAUAUUAUGUGUUCGACGAAUUGUCUGCCUUAGUCUGCUGUACGGCCAAGGCGGAUGUACGGUACAGCAGUGAAAUUUCAAUUUUGGAGCUUAGAAACCAAGAAAUGUAUUUGGUUGAUUAAUGUGAUUUUUCCAAUAAAGGAGACUGUUAAUUGGUUGUGAAAUUAUUAGGUAGUAGCAAUGUAGCAAAUAUUAUGUGUUCGACGAAUUGUCUGCCUUAGUCUGCUGUACGGCCAAGGCGGAUGUACGGUACAGCAGUGAAAUUUCAAUUUUGGAGCUUAGAAACCAAGAAAUGUAUUUGGUUGAUUAAUGUGAUUUUUCCAAUAAAGGAGACUGUUAAUUGGUUGUGAAAUUAUUAGGUAGUAGCAAUGUAGCAAAUAUUAUGUGUUCGACGAAUUGUCUGCCUUAGUCUGCUGUACGGCCAAGGCGGAUGUACGGUACAGCAGUGAAAUUUCAAUUUUGGAGCUUAGAAACCAAGAAAUGUAUUUGGUUGAUUAAUGUGAUUUUUCCAAUAAAGGAGACUGUUAAUUGGUUGUGAAAUUAUUAGGUAGUAGCAAUGUAGCAAAUAUUAUGUGUUCGACGAAUUGUCUGCCUUAGUCUGCUGUACGGCCAAGGCGGAUGUACGGUACAGCAGUGAAAUUUCAAUUUUGGAGCUUAGAAACCAAGAAAUGUAUUUGGUUGAUUAAUGUGAUUUUUCCAAUAAAGGAGACUGUUAAUUGGUUGUGAAAUUAUUAGGUAGUAGCAAUGUAGCAAAUAUUAUGUGUUCGACGAAUUGUCUGCCUUAGUCUGCUGUACGGCCAAGGCGGAUGUACGGUACAGCAGUGAAAUUUCAAUUUUGGAGCUUAGAAACCAAGAAAUGUAUUUGGUUGAUUAAUGUGAUUUUUCCAAUAAAGGAGACUGUUAAUUGGUUGUGAAAUUAUUAGGUAGUAGCAAUGUAGCAAAUAUUAUGUGUUCGACGAAUUGUCUGCCUUAGUCUGCUGUACGGCCAAGGCGGAUGUACGGUACAGCAGUGAAAUUUCAAUUUUGGAGCUUAGAAACCAAGAAAUGUAUUUGGUUGAUUAAUGUGAUUUUUCCAAUAAAGGAGACUGUUAAUUGGUUGUGAAAUUAUUAGGUAGUAGCAAUGUAGCAAAUAUUAUGUGUUCGACGAAUUGUCUGCCUUAGUCUGCUGUACGGCCAAGGCGGAUGUACGGUACAGCAGUGAAAUUUCAAUUUUGGAGCUUAGAAACCAAGAAAUGUAUUUGGUUGAUUAAUGUGAUUUUUCCAAUAAAGGAGACUGUUAAUUGGUUGUGAAAUUAUUAGGUAGUAGCAAUGUAGCAAAUAUUAUGUGUUCGACGAAUUGUCUGCCUUAGUCUGCUGUACGGCCAAGGCGGAUGUACGGUACAGCAGUGAAAUUUCAAUUUUGGAGCUUAGAAACCAAGAAAUGUAUUUGGUUGAUUAAUGUGAUUUUUCCAAUAAAGGAGACUGUUAAUUGGUUGUGAAAUUAUUAGGUAGUAGCAAUGUAGCAAAUAUUAUGUGUUCGACGAAUUGUCUGCCUUAGUCUGCUGUACGGCCAAGGCGGAUGUACGGUACAGCAGUGAAAUUUCAAUUUUGGAGCUUAGAAACCAAGAAAUGUAUUUGGUUGAUUAAUGUGAUUUUUCCAAUAAAGGAGACUGUUAAUUGGUUGUGAAAUUAUUAGGUAGUAGCAAUGUAGCAAAUAUUAUGUGUUCGACGAAUUGUCUGCCUUAGUCUGCUGUACGGCCAAGGCGGAUGUACGGUACAGCAGUGAAAUUUCAAUUUUGGAGCUUAGAAACCAAGAAAUGUAUUUGGUUGAUUAAUGUGAUUUUUCCAAUAAAGGAGACUGUUAAUUGGUUGUGAAAUUAUUAGGUAGUAGCAAUGUAGCAAAUAUUAUGUGUUCGACGAAUUGUCUGCCUUAGUCUGCUGUACGGCCAAGGCGGAUGUACGGUACAGCAGUGAAAUUUCAAUUUUGGAGCUUAGAAACCAAGAAAUGUAUUUGGUUGAUUAAUGUGAUUUUUCCAAUAAAGGAGACUGUUAAUUGGUUGUGAAAUUAUUAGGUAGUAGCAAUGUAGCAAAUAUUAUGUGUUCGACGAAUUGUCUGCCUUAGUCUGCUGUACGGCCAAGGCGGAUGUACGGUACAGCAGUGAAAUUUCAAUUUUGGAGCUUAGAAACCAAGAAAUGUAUUUGGUUGAUUAAUGUGAUUUUUCCAAUAAAGGAGACUGUUAAUUGGUUGUGAAAUUAUUAGGUAGUAGCAAUGUAGCAAAUAUUAUGUGUUCGACGAAUUGUCUGCCUUAGUCUGCUGUACGGCCAAGGCGGAUGUACGGUACAGCAGUGAAAUUUCAAUUUUGGAGCUUAGAAACCAAGAAAUGUAUUUGGUUGAUUAAUGUGAUUUUUCCAAUAAAGGAGACUGUUAAUUGGUUGUGAAAUUAUUAGGUAGUAGCAAUGUAGCAAAUAUUAUGUGUUCGACGAAUUGUCUGCCUUAGUCUGCUGUACGGCCAAGGCGGAUGUACGGUACAGCAGUGAAAUUUCAAUUUUGGAGCUUAGAAACCAAGAAAUGUAUUUGGUUGAUUAAUGUGAUUUUUCCAAUAAAGGAGACUGUUAAUUGGUUGUGAAAUUAUUAGGUAGUAGCAAUGUAGCAAAUAUUAUGUGUUCGACGAAUUGUCUGCCUUAGUAUUUUUUAAUUCCAUUCACACUACGACAUUAGUCUCUUUUGUAAAGCUAGUACUUUCGCAGUUCACUCUGAUAAAAUAAGGUUUGUCUAAUUGUCUCCAUCUCAAUGAUCUGAAUUAACCAGCAUAUUAAGGAAUUUAAGGUUGUGUCUCUACAAGUUAAAAAGGGUAAAUUGUCAUUCUAUUUAUUAGCUUAUUUUGCAAAUUAUAUAUAAAAAUUUCAUUCAGAACGAAGUUCUUGAUGUCGCGUUAUUCAAUAUAUUAGUUUUUUUUCACUCCUUUGUAAAUAUUCACACAAACAUAUACAAUAAAUUUUUAAUUUAGCUGAUCCGAUCAAACAUCCUGGACGCACCGCUGAUGUCAUCCGAAGGUGAGGAAGCUUCUGCAGAAGUUGUGGUUAGUGAUAUUCUGGUAAGCACAAGAUAAUUAAUUACUAGGAAAGAAAUAAUAAAAAUUUUUAUUAAUUACGAAACCGAUAACUAUAUAUUCGACACACUAUAAUUUUAUGAAAAAUGAAGAUCCAUACUAAUAUAAAACUAAAACCAACAUUAAUUAAAUUAUACGAUAACAACAAAUCCAGGAUAUAUUAACAAACACGUCGAUUUUGAAGCUGAAUUUAUAAUCUAAUCUUAACUCUAUUUCUUCUGUAUUUACAUAAUCAUCCUGCUAAUUAAGGAUUUACAACUUUGCCAUGAAAGGUCGGCGGCUCCAUGCCUUUUUCUUCUUCUCGUCACAAAUUUUGCUUUUGCUACCACUUCACCAUUAAAGAACAUCCCAAAGCUUGGUGCUGUUCGUGGAAGGACUAUUUUUCAAAACCCUAGCAAAAAAAUCCACAAAGUGACUAUGUUGAUCUCGAAACUUACUAUUAUUAUCAAACACUUGAUCACUUUAACUAUAAUCCACAAAGUUAUUUAACUUUUCCUCAUAGAUAUGCGUUGAACUUCAAGCAUUGGGGUGGUGGCAGAGCCAUGGCGGCGCCCGAUACUGGCAUAUCUUGGUGAAGAGAGUAGUCUUGAUAUGAUGACCUUGGUGGCAUUGGAUGGCUUACUAAUAAUGCUCAUCGAUUUAAAGCCUUACAAGUUUACAUAGAGGUAAGUAAAGAAUAUGUUAUCAGGCUAGCUUGAUAAUAAUUGAAAUAGAGUUCACAUACGAAAUAAUAAUAAUAAAGACAAAUCUUAAUCAGAAUAUUCUACAAUAUGAACUGAAAAGUUGUGAUGGAUUUUUUUUUAAUUCAAUUUUUUAUGCAGUAUCGGUUCUAUGGAAAAUCAGUACCUUUUGUAUCAAGCAAAGAUGCCCUAAAGAAUGCAACUCUUCGUGGAUAUUUCAACUCUGCUCAAGCUUUGGCUGAUUAUGCAAGAUUCUCUUACACAUCCAGAAAAAUUUAUCGGACGAAAUGUCUCCCAUUAUGGUUGUUGGAGCAUCUUAUGGAGGAAGUAAAUUAUAAUAUUAUUAACUUACUUACAUCUUUUGAUUAAUGUCGUGUCAUCUGUCACAUCAUUUUACUCAUUUAGAUCACGAUUGAUCGAUCAAGAUAUUGACUACGGCAAUAUUACUAUGAUACAAAUUUAUUUAAUAUUGCAACUAACGAAUACUCUUGGCGAUCGUAAAAUCAAGAAAUAAUAAAUAUAUUCAAGAUAAUUAUGUAUUUAAAAAUAAUCUUCUCAAUUCAUCCUAUUUUAUCAGAUCUGGGAUGUGAUAUGGUUUCGAGAGUUACUUGUUUGUUGGUUUGUUAUCAACAAUGCUUGCUGCAUGGUUUCACUUGAAGUAUCUUCACAUUGCUUUGGGAGCAGUUGCCUCAUCCGCCCCAGUUCUCUACUUUGAGAAUAUCACACCGUCAAACGCAUAUUAUGAUCUUGUCACCAAGGACUUUCGGGUAAGAAAUAAAUUAGUUAAUUAAAAUUUUAUAUAAGCAUGAUUAUGUUUUCUUGUUAAAAUUUAGCCAUUGAAUUUUAAAAAUUAAUGAUGCAGGAAGCCAGCGAGAGCUGCUACAAGACCAUCAAACAGUCCUAGGCUGAAAUCGAUAAAGUCGCUGCUGGAAAAAAUGGACUUGCUUUUCUCUCUAUAAAGUUCAAAACCUGCAAGUAAUUAAUCAUAUUACUUUACAUAACUGCUUAUAUUGUAUAUCCAUCCGAUUUUCCCUUAAUUACAAUUAAUGCAAUGUUAUUUUAGCAUCGUUAUCGAAUGUACCAUGUCUAAUUAAUUAUCUGUCAUCCUCAGCGUGUAUAUACAUUUCGAUUAACGUGUAAUAUACAAAGUAAAAAUCUGGAUUUGGGCUUAUACACGGCCUUUGCGUUACCAUAUAUAGUAUACUGGUGCUUAGGUUCAGACGUCCAUAUUUUGCAGAAUCUAAAUUUAAACUACAAAACCACGCAAAACUCUGAUAAUCAAAUGAGGCCAAAUUUGAACGUUUGCAUUUGAGAAUAUCAAUAGCUUCAUACUUAUAAAGUUUAUUGUAAUCUAACUAAAUAUAACAACAUUUUUAAGACAGUAUGUUGAAAGAUCUUUUAUAAAGUUAAUGACCUUGUGGCACUUAAUUCUAUGUUAUUGUUUAUUUGAUUACAGGCCUCUGAAGGAUGUUUCAGAAUUGAAAGAUUAUUUAGAGUAUAUGUAUACGGGUGCAGCUCAGUAUGAUGAUCCUCAGGAAAGCCCAGUGAACAAAGCCUGUAAUGGUAUUGAUGGAGCUUUAGAAGGCACAGAUACCCUAGACCGGAUCUUCUCAGGAAUUGUUGAUUUAAGAGGGGAGGAUUCUUGCCAUGAUGUUGAUGAAUUCUUCUCCGAUGCAACAUUGGACUCCAGCUGGGGCAGACAGGUAUGCAAUUACAAGUGACAUGAUUUCAUUGGUUAGUUCUAUUGAGACCGUUAAAUAAACAACAUGUGGCAAUGAGAACAAUACCUAUUUUAUGUACAUCUCUUAAUUUUAUUUAUGAGACUUUAUAUUUAUGAAUGAUUAAAAAUAGUUUUCUUCUUUAUCUUAUUUUAUUAUUAUUAUUUUUUAUUUUUGGGGGGUUUCUCAUGCAGACAUGCAGUGAAAUGGUCUCACCAAUUGGAAUUGGCAAAAACGACAUAAUGUUUCAAGCAGACACAUUUAAUCUGACAGAAUAUAUGGAUUCAUGCAAUAAGUCUUAUGGAGUGGUUCCAAGACCACAUUGGAUUACAACUUAUUAAAGUGGUAAUGUAAGUGUCGAUUAAUCCCCAAAUUAAUUCUUCUAAUAUUUUAAGGUUUCUCAUUUUCUGUUUUAAUUAUAAAGUUCACCUCAAGUUUUGUUUGAUUUCUAUUUCUUUUUAAUUUGCAAGAUAUAAGAGUGGUUUUAAAGAGAUUUGGUAGCAACAUUAUUUUCUCUAAUGGCCUUCGUGAUCCCUAUAAUAGCGAGGGGUAAUUAAGCUUAAGAAUUAUGUACACUCUUUUCUAUCGAAGUUACCUGUUUAAUUAUAUACCUUUUUUUGUUUCUUCUUUUUUGGGGGGGGGGGGGUUUUUUUUCAUUAUUUUUACUCUGAGUUGUCUAAAUGUGUAGAACAGGUGUGCAAUAUUACUUAAUGUAAAGCACUUAAGGCUCAAUCUUUAUGUAAUAAUCAUAUGGUGAAUAUCAAUUCAUAUACAAUAAGAUUGGGUUAACCAUUUUCUCCCUUUGAUUUAAGAGUUACCGUAUAGGUACUUGAAGCUGGAGAGAGUCAAAGAUUUGCCCUCCACACACACACACACACACACACACACAUAUGGAAAUGUUUUAAUCUGAAAUUUUAAAGUGCGGGAAUAUCUAGGAAAACACAUAAACCAUGCGGUUUAAACCUUUAAAACCCUGUGGUUUUAAAGUUUUUCCAAACGUUUCCGCACUUUUAGAUCCCUUAUAUGCCUCAAAAGUUAGGUGUUUAUGCUUAUAUGCUCCGUUUAUUAGUAGCCAAGCUUACGAGUAUAUUGCUUUAGGCGAACCUCUCCCUAUUCUUCUCCAUAAUGGCUAUUUCUCUUAAUUAUUUGACAAUCUAAUGCAAUCCCAAACGUGACUUAGCAUCAAGUUUAGGAUGGCGGUGGCUGAUAAAAUAAGUUAUUUUUGUUGUGAGGAUGAAAUAAGUUGAUGGUUAAAAAAGUGUCUUGCUCGUGUUUGGUAAAUUUGAUUAUGAAUGUGUUGUAUUAUUUAAUCACUAAAAUAGACAUAAGUUUAAACUGUGUUUUAUUUAUAUAUUAGAGCUUAUAGAAAAGAAAGAUAUAAUUAUUCUUUUCUUAAAAUAUUAAGAUUAUUAUAGGAACAUUUAAAAAGAUCUAGCAACUUAUUUAAUAAGUUGCUUAUCAAAAUAAUCUCCUGCCUGUUUUUAGAAGUUUUAGUCAAAAUUGAGAAAAUUGUGAAAGAAGCAACUUUUAACAAAGCCAUCAAACCUCAUUUUUAUCUAAACUUAUAAAAUAAACUGCUUAUAGCAUUUCAAUCACAAUCUUGGGGCAUUAGUGUUUAUGUAGAAUCAGAUUAGACAUUGAAUAUUUCUAAUUUUCUACACAUAUAAAUUAAAAUAUGUAGACUAGAAAAACCCCUUGACUUCGUAAGUCCACCUCAUUCUUUAAUUUCCACAGCACAUGUCAAGACGUUUUUUUCCAAAUAAUUGCUGACUAGGAGAAGUCUUAUAGUCAAGGUGAUUAGAUGAGCGUGUUAUGGAAUUAGGUAUCGUAGGGGUUCCCUGCCCUCAACUAAAAAAGUUGCCUUAAAUUUUUUUUUUUUUAAGUAAAAGUUGCCUUAAAAAUUAAAUAUUAAAUAAUAUGGUGUAUAUAUAUAUAUAUUAGUCUUCAUGUUUUGCACAUGUUCGAACGGCAAUUGUAAUAUUAAAUAAUAUGGCAUUAUUAAAGUUUAAAAAAUAUCUAAAAUUAAUCAUAAAAAUAUAUUUUUUUAACUCUUAAUGUUUUGCACAGGUAUGGACGGCAAUUAUACAAUGAGAACGAAACAAUAAUACAAUGGUGUGUUUGACAAACUGUAUUGUAUUAUGUUGUAUUGCAUUAUUUUAUUGCAGGUGUAUUGUAUUAUGUUGUAUUGCAUUAACACUGUAUUAUAAUAAUGUUGUACAAUGUUUGGCGUUACAUUGUACUGUAUUAAUUUUUUUGUGAUUAAUUUAAAUUAUAUAUUUAGAAAAUAAUAUUUAUUAGUACUUAAAAAUAAUAAAUAUAAAAUUCUUAAAUUUUGGAAAUUUAACAUUUUUAUUAAAAAUAUAUAUUGAAAUGUCAUAAUUCUUCCGAAGCUUAUAGUCUUAAAUUUUUGGAAGUGUAUUUUUUAGUAUUUUCUAAAUAUAUAACUUAUGAAAUAAAGAUCAAAGUAAAUAAUUUAAUCAAAUAAUCACUAAAUAAUUUAACAACAUAAAUAAAUAGUUGAAAUCUUCAAGAUUAAUUCAAAAAUCAUUUGAGGAUGAUAGAAUAAAAGUUUAUACAUAUUACAAGAUAAUUAUAGAAUAAUAAAGUGAUACAAUUGUUAUGACAUAUUCACUAAGAAAAUAAAUUGAGCUAAAUAAUCCAGUAAUUAUUUAUAUUAUUAAUUUUCAAUUAAUAUUAUUCAAAUUUAUUCAAAUUUAAAUAUUUAUUGUUAGUUAUAUUAAAUUAUUUAAAAAUAGCUAAAUUAAUUAUUGUACUAUAAUUAAUAAUGUAAUAUUAUAUUAUUUAAGUAUUUAUUACUAAUUAUAUUAACUUAUUAAAGAUUAAUUAAUAUAAUUUUAUAUAUUAAUUAAAAUAAUACAAUUAAAUAAUACAUUGUUUAGUUAUAUAUUUAAAAUAAUAAAAAUUAAAACAUAAUUUAAUAUUAUGUAAUAUAAUAUUAAAUUAAAAAAUUAUAUUAAUUUGUUAUUAUUAUUAUUACAAAGAGCAAAAAAAAAAAAAAGGCAAACUAAGUUGCCACAUUAGCUAACCCCAACUAAGGGUCGGGUAAACACCCCCAAUAUGAACACUGGUUAAGCUAAUUGGGGUGGUUAAAAUUUGCACUCCCGUGACCGUGCACAAGGAACGCCCCUUUGCUUAUAAUAGCUUACCGUUCAUCUAGUAAUUAUGUAUAAAUCUUUCCAAUGUGGGACAAAUGUAUUUUCCUUUAAUUUUUCAAAUUCAUGAGUGCACUUUGAGUAACAAUUUCUCAUUCACUUGAGGAUCAUUUUGAUCGUAUAGAUAACAUUCCGAAGUACUCAUAGAGGAAUAUGCGAAACAAUUUCUGAAUUUUCACUUAUACCAAAAAGGUCUCAUUCAAAAUCAUGCCUCAAGUAGCUACUUGCGCAUUAUUUUUCUAACACUUUCUUUUUUCUUUUUUUUUAAAUUUGGUUGCGUGCAGAAAAAUUGAGCGGUAAUGAAAAUUUCAUCUUCUUUCAUUUAUGAUGUUUAGGGUUAAAAAAAAAAAUGUUAGUUAGCCCAUGAGCUAUGGUAUGUAUGUUACAAAAGAUAUGAUUAGUCUUGUUUAUUUUCCUAUUUGAGCCAUUAUUUAUAACAAUUAUUUUCUUUGAACGGUUUUCCUUUUCUUAUUUUGGGUAAUACUUAAUAUCUUAUACUACUAAUAAUGCUAUUAAUUAUUUCUAAUAUUGUCCGUAUUAUCUCAUGUUUCUGCAAUGUUGUUCAAAUAGAUCUACACCUCACAAAUACAAGCCGAUAAGGUUAUAUCUCCAUGAUUAAAUCCAUCUAGAGAAGACCUUGACUCACACUAUUUGAAAACGCGUGUUGGAAAUUAACACCGGGAAGUUGCAAAACAAUUAAUUCUUAUAUAAACGCUUUGCUGAGAAUCAAAUGCUCAAUCAACCGAAAACCACCAUAAACAUGGCAUCAGCGUCCUCUGUUUCGAGACUGGUGGUCAUUAUAAUUUUAAUAAAUGUUGGUGCUAUAAGUGAUACGACAGUAUUUGUAAUAGCAUCAGCUGCAGGAUUGUUGUCGUCACCCAUACAGUUAGAAAGGGAAGCUAUACUUGGUACAGGCUGGUGGAUCAACAAUUGGGCGACGGGCAACUCCACGUCCGAUCAUUAUAAGUGGACUGGCAUCAGUUGCAAUUCAGCGGGAAGCGUACUCGGGGUCAGCUUACUCUGGUAUGAAAAUGAUAACAUCGAAGGAGAGCUUGGUCGUUUCAAAUUCUCUUGCUUUCCGAACCUCAGAAGUUUCAAAAUUCAUUCAAAUUAUCUUCUCUCUGGGAGCAUUCCAUCUGAAAUUACUGCCCUUUCAAUGCUCCAAACUCUUGAACUGUCCUCCAACUAUCUUACCGGUAUGCUACGAAACUUCACUAUAUAUAUGUAUGUAUGUAUGUAUGUAUGAAGUCGUGCUCAUGCUUGAAGCAGGCGUCUGUUUUUACAACACUGAAGAAGUUUUUUUUUACGAGGAUUGCUUUAUAAAUUUUAUUUGCUAUGAGGAUAGUGAAUACUGAUCUCGUUUUUCAUAAAUCACAUGCGCAACAGGAAUUAUUCCUUCAGAGAUGGGGAGAUUGAGGAAUCUUGUCCACCUGGAUCUAUCUAAUAAUUACAUCUGGGGAUAUAUCCCUCCAACUCUUGGUCGUCUAAGCACAUUUUUGUUGUGUGAAAGUGAAACUAUAUAAUAAAUUUCUACAUCUUUGUUUAUUACUUCGGUAGUGUUUUAAUUUGGAGAAUAUGCUGGUUGGCUUUUUUUCCUUCAAUUUUUGUAUGAAAUGAAUCGGCUUCAAGUGUCAGUUUCUUUUCCAAAUUGCAUCCAUCAAUUGCAAUUGUUACAUUGGGCGAUUACAAGUUGUACGUAAUUAUUAAGGAAGGCAGGUUUAAGCAUUUUUGGUUUGUAUCUUUUCCUCUCUUUUUUUCCCCUUUGCAUUAAAAUUCAGGGUUAUCCUAUAAAAGAUAUGAUUAAAAAUCAAAAGCACUAUUUCUAAUUUCACACAUAUACAGUUCCUCAUUAAUUUACUAAAUUUACUUUUGUAUUUACACAAUAGGAUAGUCAAUUGAGAGCACUGAGAGUGAUUCUCUCCACUCUCCAUAGUUUUGUAUUAAUUUAUUGAUAUAUUUGUUGCAUCUGCGGAUUUAACUUUCAGUAAAAAAUAUGCAGCAUUGACGAGCCCCAACAAAAAAUAAGAAUAAAAAAACUAUUGGAGCACUAAAAAAUCUAUUAAUUUUUACAACCUAAGCAUUUCUUUAUAAAUUUUAUUUAUAUGAGGAUAGUGAAUACUGAUUUCAUUUUUCAUAAAUCACAUGCGCAACAGGAAUUAUCCCUUCAGAGAUGGGGAGAUGGAGGAAUCUGGUCCACCUGGAUCUAUCUAAUAAUUACCUCUUGGGAUAUAUCCCUCCAACUCUUGGUCUCUAAGCAAAUUGAAAAUUUUGGACUUGUCUUCUAACGCCCUUCAUGGUAAUAUCCCUCCAACUCUAGGUCAUCUAACCCAGCUAACUACUUUGGCUAUUGCCUCAAACCAAAUUAAUGGUUCCAUCCCAUUAGGAAUCGGGAGUUUGAAGGUUCUUCAAGUUCUUGACCUGUACGACAACAAACUUGAUGGUCGAGUUCCUCCAAAACUCAUGAAUUGCUCAAAGCUGUGGGAAUUAGAUUUGGGAAACAACUUGUUAAGUGGAAGCAUCCCGUCAGAGAUUAACAAACUUCAAGAACUAAAUUAUCUUAAUCUGAGCCAUAACUCCAUUAAUGGUAAAAUACCUUCCCAGCUUCGAGAAAUUCCACGCAUACGCACCAUGGACCUUUCCAUGAAUAACCUCUCCGGUAGUAUCCCUGAAUCUGUCAAAAAAGUGCCUCUCUUAUAUGUGUCAGGCAACAAUUUCGAGGUAAAAAUCCCAAAUACUUCGGCAAAUUCGCCACCGCCACAUCACAAAAAGAUUGCCACUCGCUUGGUUGCAAUUAUUCUCCCUAUGGUCGCAUUGCUUGCCUUGAUAUUUGGAAUCUUGUUUGUCCGUAGACGAAGGGAUAAGAGAGUUGAACCAGCUGAGACAGGAGAAAUCACCAAGUGCGCUGAUGAGUUUGCAAUUUGGAAUUACGACGGUAAAAUUACAUUUCAAAACAUGAUUGAAGCUACCGAGGAUUUCCAUAUCAAAUACUGCAUUGGAACCGGAAGCUACGGCAGCGUUUACAGAGCACGACUACCCAGUGGAAAAGUAGUUGCUUUGAAGAAGCUUCACCGUUCAGAAACUGAGGAGUUAGCUUCCCUCGAGAGUUUCCGGAAUGAGGCUCGUCUACUGUCCCAAAUACGGCAUCGAAAUAUCGUAAAGCUUUACGGGUUUUGUUUGCACAGGAAAUGCAUGUUCUUAAUCUAUGAGUACAUGGAAAUGGGAAGCUUGUUCUGUGUUCUACGCACAGAUGAGGAAGCUGUUGAUUUGGAUUGGGCUAAAAGGGUGAACACUGUGAGGGGCAUGGCUCAUGUUAGCUGGCACUUAUGGAUAUAUUGCUCCAGGUAAUCUUCUAGCCGUUCUUCUUAUGCUUCUUUAAUUAUUCUUUUAAUUAAUUUCUAUAUGCACUCUGUUAAGUAAGUUUUAAGCAGUUUUAUUUAGUUAGCUACUUAGGUUCGAAUUUUGGAAUAGGUAAGGAGCUAGAAAGAUAAAUUUGAACUUUGCCUACCCGUUUAACUUUUUUUUAAAAAAAAAAAAAAUACACAGUUUAAAUAUCAAUUAAAAACAUAUGUUUCUUUGUCAUACCUUGCUGCAGAAGCUCAAAAAUAUAAACAAAUUACUCUUGUUAUUAUAUAGGAAAUAUCACUAAUAAAGGCUUCUGUUUUCCUAUAGAACUGGCCUACACCAUGAUUGUGACGGAGAAAUCUGAUGUUUAUAGCUUCGGAGUGGUGGCACUAGAAGUACUAAUGGGAAAGCAUCCUGGAGAGCUCCUCUCAUCGUUAUCUUCGUCAUUAGAUAAAAAUAUUAAGCUGAUUGAUUUGCUGGACCCACGCCUCUCACCUCCGGUGGAUCAAAAGAUUAGGCAGGAUGUCAUUCUUGUUUCAACAGUAGCAUUUUCAUGCUUGCGUUCUCAACCAAAGUCUCGACCUACAAUGCAACUCGUGUCCAACGAAUUUAUCGCUCGCAAUAAGGCACUGAUGCAGAAACCUUUUCAUGAAAUUUCAAUUUUGGAGCUUAGAAACCAAGAAAUGUAUUUGGUUGAUUAAUGUGAUAUCUAAUUAUGGAUGCGUAUAUUUAACUGUUCAUGCAUGUGAUGGGAUUGCUUCUAAUCAUAAUGGAUUUUUCCAAUAAAGGUGACUGUUAAUUGGUUCUGAAAUUAUUAGGUACUUGCAAUGUAUUAUUAAUUCUAUUUUCACGUUCACUUCCUAUAUAUGUUGAAUUGCAAUUAAACAAAUGUGCAAACUACGACAUUAAUCUCUCUGGUUAAGCUAGUACUUUCGCAGUUCACUCUGAUAAAAUAAGUUUUGUCUAAUUGUCUCCCUCUGAAUGAGCUGAAUUAAAUAAGGAAUUUACGGUUGUAUCUGUACGAGUUAAAAGGGUAAAUUGUUAUUUUAAUUAUUAGUUUAUUUUACAAAUUAUAUACAUAAACUUUAUUCAGAACGAGGUUCUUAAUGUCGCGUUAUUUAAUAUAUAUUAGUUUUUUCACUCCUUUGUAAAUAUUCACACAAACAUAUACAAAAAAAUUUUAAUUUAGCCGAUCCGAUCAAACAUCCUGGACCCACGGCUGAUGUUAGGAAGCUUCUGCAUAAGUUGUGGUUAGUGAUAUCCCACCAACUACCUGCCAGCACAAGAUAAACUAACGUCAGGUCAUGAUCAAGAAAAAUUUGCAUUGGGCCGAAGAGUCCAAUGUCAUAAUCAUGCAUAUAUGAAGCACUUUCAAAUGGUUGAUCUAACAGUGUCUGGUUUUCAUUUUUUGAGCUUUUUACCAACGACUGGAGAGUAGAGAACAACACAUGAUCCCCAUUACAGUAUUGUUGCUUGAAUUUACAGGCUUCAUCAUUCAGUACCUUCAAAUCUAUAUAUGACGAGAUGGAAGAAUGAACUUAAAUUUAUUAUUGUAAUUUCUGAGUUUUAAAAUGAUAAAGUAACACGCUGCUGGUUCAUUGAAAUUUAAGACAUUCAAAAUGGAGCGCAAGAGAAAAAUAAAAGUUAAGAGCUUUACCUUCAGCAUAAUAAGGAGUCUGCUGCAUCAGGCUCACUUUAUCUGCCUCUAUAGACCACCACCUCUUCAUCUUCAGCCUUCUCAAUGACACUCUCUGCGGUUUCUUCAUUUCAUUCUUGGGCCACCGCAUCUUCAUCUCCAACAUUCUCAGUAGGCUCUGAUGGUGUCACAAUUGUAGUGCGGGUGGUGAGGGGGACGGCCUCAUUAUUUUUCCUAGAUCCAUUAGACCGAGCCAUGUGUUUCUUCCCCCUUUUAUGACCCUCCAUCACAACAGCGGACUGAGUACCAACCUGAAAAACUUCACACCAGAAUUCGAAGUUCUCUCUAAGGGGAAGUUUUCUCCUCAUCGUCCCUCCAGUUGGUAUUCCAUUUGUUGUCUUCUGAGUGAUUGCAUUCAACGCCUUCUUCUUUGGCAGCUCCUCAUUUUUGUUCUCUGAAUCUUCUUCGCCCCCCACAUUCUGGUCAAAACCCACAACAGUUUUAAUAGCUUUAACUGAUUCUGUUUAGGCUUUCAUUUCUUGGCCGGCGCUAUCUCUGCUUUUGGUAAGCUUAAUUGUCUUUCCAGAUUCUUUUGAUGUUGUUUGAAAGAAAACAGAGAUGUGCUGUUUGGUUGAAUAGAAAAUCACAGAGAAAAUUCUCAAUACUGGUAUUGGAUAAGAUUCGAUUCAUAAGAACUUUUACAAAUCAGUACAAGUAUUUAUAUUAUUCCUUACACGUGAGAAUUGCUUAGUAACUCACUAACUAACUAACUAACUUUUAUGAGCUGGAUCGCUAACACUUGACUAAUCACGCUGAGCUGUUAUUCUUCACUAACAACCUUCUGCUGACGUGGCUUCACCAAGCUGCUUGAAUAAUGAGCAGCCUUGACAUUGUUGAAGAUGAGGUAGUGCACAUCUUCUGAGCUCCAAUUAGCUCCGUUUAAGAUGCUCAUCUUGACCACAGUCCACUUUCUGGUCUAAAUCAACGACAUUUUUAUUAGGUUUAACUGAUUCCUCUUCUAGAGUAGCCUUAAUUUCCUGGCCAGCACUAUCUCUGCUCAGUAGAGUUUUUUGAAGUGGAGUUACUGCACAUCUUCUCAUCUCCAAGUAGUCCUUCUUCCUGGCCUUGUGCUUCUUGCCGUGAAGAUGCUCAUCUAGAUCUCUCUUGCUAGUAGUACUGACCUGACAGAGGGCACAACUCCAAUCCAUGGGGUUUCUUUGAACUCGUCAACAUGAGCUCUCCAGAACCUGCUGGUAGUGUGGAAGCUUCCUGUUUUGAUCCACAAAGAUUGGGAUAUGGUUUAACCUGCUGGGCUUGACAACCCUCCUCUUUCUGGUCUAAACCAACAACAGUUCUAUUAGCUUUAACUGAUUCCUAUGUUGCUUUAUUCUUCAUUUCUUGGCCAGCACUGUGAUACGACACUCUUUAAGCGAGUGCAGGCUCCAAUCUGUGGGGAAAAGAAUUUGCAGAAAGAGAAAAGGGACAGGGGAAUUGCAGAGAAGAGAAAGAAGACGAAGCUGAAAAAAGACAAAAUGAUAUAUUCUUUUUUGAUAUCCCUCAUGGGUCCCUUUGACAGUACAAUAUAUUCUCUCUCCCAAAAACAGCCAUGCACCCUUAACUAACUAAAAUAGAAUAAAAUUGAUAACAACAAAAUAAUAAUUGAAAACAAAACAAUAUUCGUUAUUAUAAUCUCUCAAGCAUUCUCGAACAUUCCUCAAAUGACAAAGUCUUUGAGCCAUCCUGGUUUCUUUCUCGCGCGAGCUGAACCUGUCUUGAGCUGCUCUCUAGCUUGUGUCUCAUUCACGGGUUGGACUUCUUCCAUUUCUGCAGGCUGGGUCUCUUCCCUUGCUGUCUCAUUGUGCUCGAUCUGAUUCACAACAAUUGGCCAGGUUGUAUCAUUCCCCAUUCCUUGAAAGCUUACCUUGUCCUCACGGUGUAGUGCAGGGUAGAGUUUACGAAAUUCCUCAAAGUCCUCCCAAGUUGAAUUUUCUGGUGAGCUAUCAGACCAUUGCACCAAAAUUUGUGGAAUUUCUUUGCCUUGUCGAAGUAUCUUUCGCUCAGCACAUACUGCAAUUGGUGAUGACAAGGGCUUGUUAUCCACACUUCCUGGAGGCAGUGAAUAAACAUCAAUGGGGGAGUUUCCCACAUAAGGUUUUAGUAAGGAAAUAUGGAACACCGGGUGAAUUCUACAAUUUGUGGGUAACUCUAACUUGUAAGCAACGGGUCCAAUACGCUCUACCACUGUGAAUGGUCCAUAAUAGCACCUUGCCAGCUUAUGAGAUGAGCGCUUAGCAACUGAUGUCUGGCGAUAUGGCUGAAGGUGCACCAACACUUUAUCACCUACCUGCAAUUGAGUUUCUCGGCGAUGUAAAUUAGCCUUUUGAGCCAUUCGAUGCUGAGCUUGUCGUAAGUUCUCUUUCAAUGAGCAAAGCAUGGCAUCCCUCUCAAUUAACAUGUCUUCUAAAGCUUGGAUUGAAGUAGAGCCCCUUGAGUAACUUGGAAUUGUGGGAGGAAAACGACCAUAAAGGGCUUGAAAGGGAGUCAUUCGCAAGCUGCUGUGAUAACUGGUAUUGUAGCAAAAUUCAGCCCAGCCUAAAAAUGAAGACCAUGUCUGUGGCUUGUCUUGUGAGAAGGCUCGUAAAUAUUGCUCAAGCCCUCGAUUAACUACUUCGGAUUGACCAUCCCUUUGGGGGUGGUAAGCCGUGCUGUGCCGUAACUGUGUACCACUUAAAUCAAACAAUUUCUGCCAAAAGUUGCUCAUGAAUAUAGGAUCACGAUCUGAAAUUAUAGAGCUAGGAAAUCCAUGUAAUUUUACAACCAUGUCAGCAAAUAAAGCUGCUGUUUUGAUGGCAGUAAAUUGAGAAGGCAAGGCUCCAAAGUGAGCUGACUUUGAUAAACGAUCCACAACAACNNNNNNNNNNNNNNNNNNNNNNNNNNNNNNNNNNNNNNNNNNNNNNNNNNNNNNNNNNNNNNNNNNNNNNNNNNNNNNNNNNNNNNNNNNNNUUACUGCUGUACCGUACAUCCGCCUUGGCCGUACAGCAGUUUUUCCUCCUUAACUUCAGAGCUAUCAGAUGUCUCCUUACUAGAGGUGGAACCAGUAAUUGCCUGUAAAUAAAUUUCAUCAGCAAAUUUGCACAAGUGAAUGUUCAUGUAUAAUCAAGUAACAGUUCCACAUAAAAAUCAAACAACAAACUGAAUCAACAUGGACUCGAUAAAACUAAUGGCAUAAUCAGACUACCAUUAUCAGUUGAAGUUAAUUUUAUACUCGCGUAUGUAACUCCUCGACAAAAUGUACAUUAAAACCAGUAAAUAAAUAGAACAGAAUAAAGAAGAAUAUUCCAUAUUAUGAAAUAUCUGAAGAUAUUUAUGAAUAAAAAUGUCAGCACUGUACUGAACAGCAUCACAGUUGAAGCUAAUAUUACUCUUUUAAAAAACAAAAAAAAAGAAAGAAAUGAAUUUGAUAUUAAAAAAUUAUAUAGUUACCUUAACGGUGAUACGUCGAUUUAGAUCAGCAUAAUUCAUCGUUCCCUGCGAUAAUAAAUCAGACACGAGACUCCAUUUCCAUUACACACAAAACGCCCAAGCAUUAAGUAUUAACAGGAAGAAAAAACGACAAAAAAAUAUUGCGUUUUACCAGAGAAUUGAAAGAAGAAGAAGCAGUAGGCUUCCGUUGAUUGAAUCUGAAGCUUUGCAAAGGCAAAGCGGAUGAUCUGAAAUAUUAACCAAAAAAAUUAAAAAAUGAAAACGAAUUAAAGGAGAAUUAAAAUAAAAAUUAAAAAAAGAAGAAGAAAAAGAGGACCUUGGAAGAUUCUGUAGACAGUUCAUUGAUUGAAGAAGAAAGGAAAAUAUCAGAGCAAAUCGUCAAGCAGACAAGUGUGUGUGUGUAAUAAGACCGUUUGAUUUUUUUUUUUUCGUUUUCCUUAUUUUCAUGGUGAAUUUUAUAUAAUUUUUUGAUUAUUUAUAUAUAUAUAUAUAUAGAUAUUUAUUAAAAGAUAAUAAAAUAUAACAUAGUGUCCAAGUCAGAUUGAAAAUAAAUCAACACGUAUGAUUGUUGAAUUGUUAAUUGUGUUAUAAAUAAUUUCGCAUCUUAUUUCAAUUAUUGCCUAUCAAUCUACACUUUCUUCUAGUUUGCAUAAUGACUUCGUUGUUCUUGUAAGAUCUAUAUAGUUUUCUUUUUGUGUGUGCGUGUGGGGUAGGGGGGGUGGGGCGCGGCUACUGGGAGCCUUUGAUAAAGAAAACGACGUUGUUACAGUGAAUCUCAGGGUCCAUGUUUGUGUGAUGAUAUUUUUCGUGAGAGGUUAUGGUGUCUAAUUGGGCGGACACACGUUUGGCUUGUAGAUGAUAUGACUGUGUAACCAUGUUGCAGCUGUUGCUUGCUUUCAGCAUUCUAAUCAUUGACCAACUUGGGAUCUUCAUAUCCGUUGGUGGAAUUAUUUGCACCAUCUAAGUCUUGACGGGCACCCCUUGAUUAUACUCGGUGGAAUAAAUUUUGCACUUAUUUUUAAAAAUAAAUAAAUAAAGAAUCCCCCGUGGGGAAGUUAAAGUGCAAACACGAAUUGAUUAGUGAAGAGGACACAGAGAUUUGACAUGAUAAUUAAUCAUCUCGUUAUGAUGUGUUAGUGUAUAAUGGUUAAUAUUUACCUCAAUUUUUUUUUAUUUCUAUUUCUUUUAUAUUUGCAGGACAUAAGAGUGGUUUUAAAUAGAUUUGGUAGCAACAUUAUUUUCUCUAAUGGCCUUCGUGAUCUCUAUAGUAGCGCUGGGUAAUUAAACUUCUAUCGAAGUUACCAAUUUAAUUAUACAUUUUUUUCUUUUCUUUUUUGAGGUUAUAGGGUUCUAAAAGAUAUAUCAGACAAUAUAAUAGCAGUGACAACAAGAAACGUUAUGUAAAUUUUUCUAUAAAAUAAAAAAAUUAGUGUUCAAUUAUUAACUAAAUUAUUGGAUAACAUAAUUAAUAGUGUGUAAAUUGGAGCAGGUUCCCAUUGCUUAGACAUACAGCCAGUAACAGAAGAUGAUCCAGAGUGGUUAGUAAUGCAGCGAAAGAUUGAAGUGGACAUGGUUCAUGAUUGGAUCCUCAAAUACUUUGCUGAUUUGCUUCAAAAUCAGAGCAUAAGAUUAUAUUGUGACUACAAAAUUAGUCUUUUCUUUUUCUUCCUCUCCUCUAUCUUUCUAAUAUUUAUGGAGCAAAGAUAAAUAAUAGUGCGCCUAGCUAGUUUUAGAUUUGGUCAUUUUCAUAAUUCUUAAUCUGGGUUGUCUUAAUGUGUAGAACAAGUGUGCUUACUUAUUGUAAAGCACAUAAAAAGGGUUCAAUCUUUAUGUAAUAAUCAUAUGGGGAAUAUCAAUUCAUAUACAAUCACAUUGAUUUAACCAUUUCCUUGAAGCCGGGGAGAGACAAAGAAUUUGCCCUCCAUAUACAUGUAUCUCUCAAAACUUGGGUGUUUAUCCUUAUAUGCUCCGUUUAUUAGUAGCCAAGCUUAUGAGUGUAUUGCUCCAGGUGAACCUAUUCUUAUUCUCCCACAUAAUAGCUACUUUUGUUUAAUUAUUUGACAAUCCAAUGCAAUUCCAAUCAUGACUUGGGAUCAGUUUGAAAUUCAGAUGGCUGAUGAAAUAAACUACUUCUGUGUGCGAAUAAAAUAAAUUGAUGAUUAUAAAAGUAGCUUGCUCGGAGUUUGGUAAAUUUAAAUAUGAAAGAAUUAUUUUAUUAUCUAAUCACUAAAAUAGACAUAAGUUUAAAUUGUCUUUAUUUAUGUAUUAGGAUUUAAAAAAAUAGAUAUAAUUAAAUACUAAUGACGUUGAUAGAGAAAAAUACUAAUGACGUUGUUACAGUGAAUCUCAGGGUCCAUUUUUUGUGAGGUUAAUGAUUGCAUUCUGGGUUGCGUUGCACAGUCUUUAGUGUUCAUUCAUCUUUUUAUGGUAAGUUGCAUGCAUUUGUUUUGUUUUAAAAAUAAAAAAUAAAGAAUCCCCCGUGGGGAAGUCAAAGUGCAAUACGAAUUUAUUAGUGAAGAGGACACAGGUUUGACAUGAUAAUUAAUCAUCUCGUUAUGAUGUGUUAGUGUCUAAUUCACAAAUUCGUGUAAUAAAUUGCCACCCUUUCGUGUGAGACUACUGUUAAUUUUCUUCUUCUCCUCACAAAUUUUGCUUUUGCUUCCACUUCACCAUUAAAGAACAUCCCAAAGCUUGGUGUUGUGCGUGGAAGGACUAUUUUUCUAAACCCUAGUAAAAAAAUAUUAACUUCAGAACCAGAGGGUGAUCUCGAAACUUAUUAUUAUGAUCAAAUACUUGAUCACUUUAACUAUAAUCCACAAAGUUAUUUAACUUUUUGAUUGGAUCCUCAAAUACUUUGCUGAUUUGCUUCAAAAUCAGAGCAUAAGAUUAUAUUGUGACUACAAAAUUAGUCUUUUCUUUUUCUUCCUCUCCUCUAUCUUUCUAAUAUUUAUGGAGCAAAGAUAAAUAAUAGUGCGCCUAGCUAGUUUUAGAUUUGGUCAUUUUCAUAAUUCUUAAUCUGGGUUGUCUUAAUGUGUAGAACAAGUGUGCUUACUUAUUGUAAAGCACAUAAAAAGGGUUCAAUCUUUAUGUAAUAAUCAUAUGGGGAAUAUCAAUUCAUAUACAAUCACAUUGAUUUAACCAUUUCCUUGAAGCCGGGGAGAGACAAAGAAUUUGCCCUCCAUAUACAUGUAUCUCUCAAAACUUGGGUGUUUAUCCUUAUAUGCUCCGUUUAUUAGUAGCCAAGCUUAUGAGUGUAUUGCUCCAGGUGAACCUAUUCUUAUUCUCCCACAUAAUAGCUACUUUUGUUUAAUUAUUUGACAAUCCAAUGCAAUUCCAAUCAUGACUUGGGAUCAGUUUGAAAUUCAGAUGGCUGAUGAAAUAAACUACUUCUGUGUGCGAAUAAAAUAAAUUGAUGAUUAUAAAAGUAGCUUGCUCGGAGUUUGGUAAAUUUAAAUAUGAAAGAAUUAUUUUAUUAUCUAAUCACUAAAAUAGACAUAAGUUUAAAUUGUCUUUAUUUAUGUAUUAGGAUUUAAAAAAAUAGAUAUAAUUAAAUACUAAUGACGUUGAUAGAGAAAAAUACUAAUGACGUUGUUACAGUGAAUCUCAGGGUCCAUUUUUUGUGAGGUUAAUGAUUGCAUUCUGGGUUGCGUUGCACAGUCUUUAGUGUUCAUUCAUCUUUUUAUGGUAAGUUGCAUGCAUUUGUUUUGUUUUAAAAAUAAAAAAUAAAGAAUCCCCCGUGGGGAAGUCAAAGUGCAAUACGAAUUUAUUAGUGAAGAGGACACAGGUUUGACAUGAUAAUUAAUCAUCUCGUUAUGAUGUGUUAGUGUCUAAUUCACAAAUUCGUGUAAUAAAUUGCCACCCUUUCGUGUGAGACUACUGUUAAUUUUCUUCUUCUCCUCACAAAUUUUGCUUUUGCUUCCACUUCACCAUUAAAGAACAUCCCAAAGCUUGGUGUUGUGCGUGGAAGGACUAUUUUUCUAAACCCUAGUAAAAAAAUAUUAACUUCAGAACCAGAGGGUGAUCUCGAAACUUAUUAUUAUGAUCAAAUACUUGAUCACUUUAACUAUAAUCCACAAAGUUAUUUAACUUUUUCUCAUAGAUAUGUGACUUCAAACAUUGGGGCGGCGGCGGAGCCACGGCGGCGCCAAUAUUGGCAUAUCUUGGUGAAGAGAGUAGUCUUGAUGAUGACCUUGGUGGCACUGGAUGGCUUACUGAUAAUGCUCAUUGAUUUAAAGCCUUGCAAGUUUACAUAGAGGUAAGUAAAGAAUCUGUUAUCAGGCUAGCUUGAUAAUAAUUGAAAUAGAGUUCGCAUACAAAAUAAUAAUAAUAAAGACAAAUCUUAAUCAGAAUAUUCUACAAUAUGAACUGAAAAGUUGUGAUGGAUUUUUUUUUUAAUUCGAUUUUUUAUGCAGCAUCGGUUCUAUGGAAAAUCAGUACCUUUUGUAUCAAGCAAAGAUGCCCUAAAGAAUGCAACUCUUCGUGGAUAUUUCAACUCUGCUCAAGCUUUGGCAGAUUAUGCAAAGAUUCUCUUACACAUCAAGGAAAAAUUUAUCGGCCGAAAUGUCUCCCAUUAUCGUUGUUGGAGCAUCUUAUGGAGAAAGUAAAUUUUAAUAUUAUUAACUUACUUACAUCUUUUGAUUAAUGUCGUGUCAUUUGUUGCAUCAUUUUAUUCAUUUUGAUCUCGUUUGACCAAAAUAUUAAUUAUGCCAAUAUUAUUUUGAUACAAAUUUAUUUUGCAUUCCAAUUAAUGAAUACUUUCAGCAAUCGUAAAAUUAAGAAAUAGUAAAUAUAUUUUCUUUUUUAAUUAUAAAGUUUACCUCAAUUGUUGUUUGAUUUCUAUUUCUUUUUAAUUUGCAAGAUAUAAGAGUGGUUUUAAAGAGAUUUGGUAGCAACAUUAUUUUACCUAAUGGCCUUCGUGAUCCCUAUAGCAGCGAGGGGCAAUUAAGCUUAAAAAUUUUGUACACUCUUUUCUAUCGAAGUUACCCGUUUAAUUAUAUGCCUUAUUCUUUUUCUUCUUUUUUUUUUGGUGGGGGGGAGAUUAUAGGGUUUUGGAAGAUAUCAGACAAUAUAAUAACAGUGACAACAAGAAGCAGUAUGUAAAUUUUUCUAUAAAAUAAAAAAUAAGUGUUCAAUUAUUAACUAAAUUAUUUGAUAACAUAAUUAAUUAACAGUGUGUAAAUUGGAGUAGGUUCCCAUUGCUUAGACGUACAGCCAGCAAUAGAAGACGACCCAUAAUGGUUAGCAGUGCAGCGAAAGAUUGAAGUGGACAUGCUUCAUGGUUGGAUCCUCAAAUAUUUUGCAGAUUUGCUUCAAAAUCAGAGCAUAAGAUUGAUUUGUGACUACAAAAUUAGUUUUUUCUUUUUCUUCCGCUCCUCUAUCUUUCUAAUAUUUAUGGAGCAAAGAUAAAUAAUAAUAGUGCACCUAGCUAGUUUGGAUUUGGUUGUCAUUUUCAUAAUUUCAAUCAGAUUGAAUUAACUAUUUUCUCCCUUUGAUUUAAGAGUUACUGUAUAGGUCCUUGAAGCCGGAGGUAGUCAAAGAUUUGCCCUCCACACACACACACACACACACACAUAUAAAAAUAUUCUAAUUCAGAAUUUUAAAGUGCGGGAACGUUUGAGAAAACGCAUAAACCGUGCAGUUUAAGUGUUUUAAGUAUUAAGCCUUUAAAAUCCCGCGGUUUUAAAAUUUUUCCUAAUGUUUCCCGCACUUUAAGGUCCUGUACCAAAAAACUACUUUAUAUCCGCACUUUAAGAUCCUGUAUUAUUUAAUGAUUAAAAUAAACAUGAGUUUAAAUUGUCUUUUAUUUAUAUAUUAAAGCUUAUAGAAAAGUAAGAUAUAAUUAUUCUUUUCUUAAAAUAUUAAGGUUAUAAUAUGAACAUUUAAAAAGAUAUAGCAACUUAUUUAAUAAGUUGCUUAUAAAAAUAGUCUCUGUUUUGUUUUUAAAAGUUACAGUCAAAAUAGAGAAAAUUAUAAAAAAAAAAUAACUUUUAACAAAGCCAUCAAAUUUCAUUUUUAUCUAAACUUAUAAAAUAAACUGCUUAUAGUAUUUCAAUCACAAUCCUAGGGCAUUAAUCUUUGUAUAGAAUCAGAUUAUACAUUGAAUAUUUCUAAUUUUCUACACAUAAAUUAAAAUAUGUAGACUAGAAAAACACCUUGACUUCGUAAAGUCUACUUCAUUCUUUAAUUUCCGCAGCAUAUGUCAAGACAUUAUUUCCAAAUAAUUGCCGACUAGGAGAAGUCUUAUAGUCAAGGUGAUUAGAUGAGCGUGUUAUGGAAUCGUAGUGGUUCCCUGCCCUCAACUUAAAAAGUGGCCUUCAAAAUUAAAUAUUAAAUAAUGUGGCAUUAUUAAUGUUAUAUAUAUAUAUAUGUCUUCAUGUUUUGCACGGGUUCGAAUGGCAGUUGUAAUAUUAAAUAAUAUGGCAUUAUUAAAGUUAAAAAAAAUAUGUAAGGUUAAUCAUUAAAAAAAAAUUUAUAAAAAAAUAAAUAAAGAUUAAAAUGGAUGUUAGAAAUAGCCCGUGAGUUUCCAUAGUUUGUGUGUUACAAAAGGACUUUUGUAACUAUUUUAAAAAAAUAAAAAAAAAUUAUUUUGAUUAUUCUGUCAAAUCACACAUUCUGUUCAUAUUAAUAUUUAAUAUCUUAAUAAUGCUAUUAAUUAUUUCUAAUAUUUUCCAUAUUAUCUCAUGUUUCUGCAAUGUUGUUCAAAUAGAUCUACACCACACAAAAUACAAGCCAAUAAGGUUAUAUCUCCAUGAUUGAAUCCAUCUAGAGAAGACCUUGACUCACACUAUUUGAAAACGCGUAUGGGAAAUUAACACUGGGAGGUUGCAAAACAAUUAAUUCUUAUAUAAACGCUUUGCUGAGAAUCAAAUAUAGCUCAAUCAACCGAAAACCAUUAUAAACAUGGCAUCAGCAUCCUCUGUUUCGAGAUUGGUGGUCAUUUUAAUUUUAAUUAAUGUUGGUGCUAUAAGUGAUAAAACAAUAUUUGUAAUAGCAUCAGCUGCUGGAUUAUUGUCGUCACCCGUACAGUUAGAAAGAGAAGCUUUACUGAUUACAGGCUGGUGGUACGACAAUUGGGCAACGUCGGGCAACUACACGUCCGAUCAUUGUAAGUGGACUGGCAUCCGUUGCAAUUCAGCGGGAAGCGUAAUCAGGGUCAGCUUACUCUGGUAUGAAAAUGAUAACAUGAAAGGAGAGCUUGGUCGUUUCAACUUCUCUUGCUUUCCCAACCUCAAAAGUUUCAAAAUUCAUUCAAAUUAUCUUCUCUCUGGGAGCAUUCCAUCUGAAAUUACUGCCCUUUCAAUGCUCCAAACUCUUGAACUGCCCUCCAGCAGGCUUACCGGUAUGCUACGAAACUUCACUAUAUAUAUGUAUUUAUGUAUGUAUGUAUGAAGUCGUGCUCAUGCUUGAAGCAGACGUCUGUUUUUACAACAUUGAAGAAGUUUUUUUUUAUGAGGAUUUCUUUAUAAAUUUUAUUGCUAUGAGGAUAGUGAAUACUGAUCUCGUUUUUCAUAAAUCACAUGCGCAACAGGAAUUAUCCCUUCAGAGAUGGGGAGAUUGAGGAAUCUCGUCCGCCUGGAUCUAUCUGAUAAUUACAUUGGGGGAUAUAUCCCUCCAACUCUUGGUCGUCUAAGCAAAUUGAAAAUUUUGAACUUGUCUUCUAACUUCCUUGUUGGUAAUAUCCCUCUAACUCUUUGUCAUCUAAGCAAAUUGAAAAUUUUGAACUUGUCUUCUAACUUCCUUGUUGGUAAUAUCCCUCUAACUCUUUGUCAUCUAAGCAAAUUGAAAAUUUUGAACUUGUCUUCUAACUUCCUUGUUGGUAAUAUCCCUCUAACUCUUUGUCAUCUAAGCAAAUUGAAAAUUUUGAACUUGUCUUCUAACUUCCUUGUUGGUAAUAUCCCUCUAACUCUUUGUCAUCUAAGCAAAUUGAAAAUUUUGAACUUGUCUUCUAACUUCCUUGUUGGUAAUAUCCCUCUAACUCUUUGUCAUCUAAGCAAAUUGAAAAUUUUGAACUUGUCUUCUAACUUCCUUGUUGGUAAUAUCCCUCUAACUCUUUGUCAUCUAAGCAAAUUGAAAAUUUUGAACUUGUCUUCUAACUCCCUUGUUGGUAAUAUCCCCCCCACUCUAGGUCAUCUAACCCAGCUAACUACUUUGGCUAUGUCAAAUAAAGUGGCCAUCUAGAUGGUAUAAAGCAGCCAUCUAGAUGGUCAGCAACAAUUUUGUUCAAAGAAGAAGAAUUUUGCAGCAAAUUUGAAAAAAAACGAAGCACACGACUUUGACAAGAGAAAGAAGAAAAAGAAGAAAAAGAAGAAAAAAAUAUAUAUAUAUAAUUGAUGAAUAGUGCCAAAGCUUUCUCUAUAAAUAGAAACAAAGAGAAUGAGCAAAUUCAUUCCAUUCAGAGAGCAAUUUAGCAGUUGAGAGAGAGUUUAGAGAGCUUGAAUUUAUAAGCUCUUGUUAUAGUGAUUUAGAGAGUUUGGGUGUAUUGGGGUUUUGAGAAGUGAGCUAAAAUACUACAAUACUUGUAACUCAUUUUCAAUAGUAAAAUAUUUCCUUCUGUCUUCGCCCGUGGAUGUAGGCUAAAAGCUGAACCACGUAAUUUCUAGUGUCGUCUAUUGUGCUUGUUCUUUAUUUUUCUUCCAAUUUCAACUUAGGUGCGUGUCUGCUUCACCCACCAAUUUCCUAACAGGCUAUUGUCUGGAACCAAAUUAAUGGUUCCAUCCCAUUAGGAAUCGGGAGUUUGAAGGCUCUUUAAGUUCUUGACCUGUCCAGAAAUGAAAUUGAAGGUUCAAUUCCUUCAACACCUAGCCAUUUAAAGAGAUUGAGAAGUUUAAAAUUGUCCGAAAACAAACUUGUUGGUCCAAUCCCUUCGUCCCUGGGUCAUUUGACUCAGCUAACUACUUUAAAUAUGUACAACAACAAACUUGAUGGUCCAAUUCCUCAAGAACUCAUGAAUUGCUCAAAGCUGCGGAUAUUAAUAUUGGGAAACAACUUGUUAAGCGGAAGCAUUUCGUCAGAGAUUGGCAAACUUCAAGAACUAAAUUAUCUUGAUUUAAGCCAUAACUUGAUUAAUGGUAAAAUACCUUCCCAGCUUGGAGAAAUUCCACGCAUAGAUACCGUGAACCUUUCCAUGAAUAAUCUUUCCGGUAGCAUCCCUGAAUCUGUCAAAAAAGUGCCUCUCUUAUAUGUAUCAGGCAACAAUUUCGAGGUAGAAAUCCCAAGUACUUCGGCAAAAGCGCCACCACCACAUCACAAAGGCAAUGACAAAAAGAUUGCCACUCGAUUGGUUGCAAUUAUUCUUCCUAUGUCCGCAUUCCUUGCCUUAAUAUUUGGAAUCUUGUUUGUCCGUAGACGAAGGGAUAAGAAAGUUGAACCAACUGAGACAGGAGAAAUUACCAAGUGCGCUGAUGAGUUUGCAAUUUGGAAUUACGAUGGUAGAAUUACAUUUCAAGACAUGAUUGAAGCUACUGAGGAUUUCCAUAUCAAAUACUGCAUUGGAACCGGAGGCUAUGGCAGCGUUUACCGAGCACGACUGCCCAGUGGAAAAGUAGUUGCUUUGAAGAAGCUUCACCGUUCAGAAACUGAGGAGUUAGCUUCCCUCGAGAGUUUCCGGAAUGAGGCUCGUCUACUGUCCCAAAUAUGGCAUCGAAAUAUCGUAAAGCUUUACGGGUUUUGUUUGCACAGGAAAUGCAUGUUCUUAAUCUAUGAGUACAUGGAAAUGGGAAGCUUGUUUUGUGUUCUACGCACAGAUGAGGAAGCUGUUGGUUUGGAUUGGGCUAAAAGGGUGAACAUUGUGAAGGGCAUGGCUCAUGCUUUGUCAUACUUGCAUCAUCACUGCACACCACCAAUUGUUCACCGCGACAUAUCAAGCAACAACGUUCUACUCAACUCAGAAUUAGAAGCAUUUGUUGCUGACUUUGGCGUUGCUAGAUUAUUAAAUUUUGACUCAUCCAAUCGAACUCUAUUGGCUGGCACUUCUGGAUAUAUUGCUCCAGGUAAUCUUCUCGCUAUUCUUCUUCUGCUUCUUUAAUUAUUCUUUUAAUUAAUUUUUGUAUACACUCUGUUAAGUAAUUUUUAAGCAGUUUUAUUUAGUUAGCUACUUAAGUUCGAAUUUUAGAAUAGAUAAGGAGCUGAAAAAUUAAUUUGAACUUUGCGUGCCCGUUUAACUCCUUAUUUUUUUUUAAAAAAAAUACAUACACUUUAGAUAUCAGUUAAAAACAUAUGUUUCUUUGUCAUACCUUGCUGCAGAAGCUCAAAAAUAUAAACAAAUUGCUCUUGUUAUUACUUAGAAAACAUCACUGAUAAAGGUUUUUGUUUUCAUACAAAACUUGCCUACACCAUGGUUGUGACGGAGAAAUCUGAUGUUUAUAGCUUCAGAAUGGUGGCACUAGAAGUACUAAUGGGAAAGCAUCCAGGAGAGAUCCUCUCAUCAUCAUCUUCAUCAUUGGAUAAAAAUAUAAAGCUGAUUGAUUUGUUGGACCCACGCCUCUCACCUCCGGUGGAUCAGAAGAUUAGGCAGGAUAUCAUUCUUGUUUCAACAGUAGCAUUUUCAUGCUUGCGUUCUCAACCAAAGUCUCGACCUACAAUGCAACUCGUGUCCAACGAAUUUAUCGCUCGCAAUAAGGCACCGAUGCAGAAACCUUUUCAUGAAAUUUCAAUUGUGGAGCUUAGAAACCAAGAAAUGUAUGUGGUUGAUUAAUGUGAUAUCUAAUUACGGAUGCGUAUAUUUAACUGUUCAUGUAUGUGAUGGGAUUGCUUGUAAUCAUAGUGGAUUUUUCCAAUAAAGGUGACUGUUAAUUGGUUCUGAAAUUAUUAGGUAGUAGCAAUGUAGCGGAUAUUAUGUGUUCCACGAAUUGUCUCCCUUAGUAUUAUUAAGUCCAUUUUCACGUUCACUUCCAAUAUAUAUUGAAUUGCAAUUAAACAUAUGUGCAAACUACGACAUUAAUCUCUCUGGUCAAGCUAGUACUUUCGCAGUUCACUCUAAUAAAAUAAGGUUUGUCUGAUUGUCUCCCUCUGAAUGAGCUGAAUUAAACAGGAUUUUAAGGAAUUUAAGGUUGUAUCUCUACGAGUUAAAAGGAUAAAUUGUCAUUUUAAUUAUUAGUUUAUUUUACAAAUUAUAUAUGUAAACCUCAUUCAGAACGAGGUUCUUGAUAUUUAAUAUAUUAGUUUUUUCACUCCUUUGUAAAUAUUCACACAAACAUAUACAAUAAUUUAGCUGAUCCGAUCAAACAUCCUGGACCCACCGCUGAUGUUAGGAAGCUUCUGCAUAAGUUGUGGUUAGUGAUAUCCCGCCAACUACCUGCCAGCAAAAGAUAAACUAAUGUCAGGUCAUGAUCAAGAAAAAUUUGCUUUGAGCCGAAGAGUCCAAUGUCAUAACCAUGCAUAUAUGAAGCACUUUCAAAGAGUAGAUCUAACAGUGUCUGGUUUUCAUUUUUGGAGUUUUUUACCAAUGACUGGAGAGUAGAGAACAACACAUGAUCCCCAUUACAGUAUUGUUGCUUGAAUUUAUAGGCUUCAUCAAUCAGUACCUUCAAAUCCAUAUAUAAUGAGAUGGAAGAAUGAAUUUAAAUUUAUUAAUGUAAUUUCCGAGUUUUAAAAUGAUAAAGCAAGUUGCAACUGGUUCAUUGAAAUUUAAAACAUUCAUAAUGAAGUGCAAGAGCAAAAGAAAAGUUAGGAGCUUUACCUUCAGCAUAACAAGGAGUCUGCUGCAUCAGGCCCACUUUAUCUGCCUCUAUAGACCACCACCUCUUCAUCUUCAGCCUUCUCAAUAAUACAAUCUCUUGUUUCUUCAUUUGAUUCUUCGACCACUACAGCUUCACCUUCAACAUUCUCAGUAGGCUCUGAUGGUGUCACAAUUGUUGUGCUGGUGGUGAGGGGGACGGCUUCAUUAUUUUUCCUGUAUUCAUUAGACCGAGCCAUGUGCUUCUUCCCCCUUUUAUGACCUUCCAUCACGACAGCAGAGUGAGUACCAACUUGACAAACUUCACACCAGAAUUCGAAAUUCUCCCUAAGGGGAAGUUUUCUCUUCAUCGUCUCUGCAGUCGGUAUUCCAUUUGUCGUCUUCCGAGUGUUUUCAUUCGGGUCCUUCUUUGGCAGCUCCUCAUUUUUGUUCUCCGAAUCUUUUUCACCCUCCACUUUCUGGUCUAAACCCACAACAGUUUUAAUCGCUUCAACUGAUUCCUCUUCUACUUUAGCUUUUAUUGCUUGACCAGCACUUUCUGGUCUAAACCCACUUUCUGGUCUAAUUGUCUUUCCAGAUUCUUUUGAUGUUGAUGAAGAUGAGGUGGUCUGAGCUCCAAUUAGCUUGGCUUCCUUUGCCUUGUGCUCCUUACCUUGAAGAUGCUCAUCUUGACCACCCUCCACUUUCUGGUCUAAACCAACAACAGUUUUAUUAGCUUUAACUGAUUCCUCUUCUACAGUAGCCUUAAUUUCUUCGCCAGCACUAUCUCUGUUUUCAAUAGAGUUUCUUGAGGUGGAGUUACUGCACAUCUUCUGAUCUCCAGGUAGUCCUUCUUCCUUGGCCUCGUGCUUCCUGCCUUGAAGAUGCUCAUCUAGAUCUCUCUUGCUAGUAGUACUGAACUGACAGAGGGCACAACUCCAAUCUGUGGGUUUCUUUGAACUCGUCAGCGGGAGCUCUCCAGAACCUGCUGGUAGUGUGGCAGCUUCCUGCUUUGAUCCACAAAGAUUGGGAUAGGGCUUAACCUGCUGGGCUUGACAACCCUCCUCUUUCUGGUCUAAACCAACAACAGUUCUAUUAGCUUUAGCUGAUUCCUCUUCUACUUUAGCCUUCAUUUCUUGGCCAGCACUAUCUCUGCUUUCUGUGGAUUUUUUUAUCCACUUCUGAGCUCCAAGUAGUUCUUCUUCCUUAGCCUUCUGCUUCUUACCUUGAGGAUGCUCAUCUAGACCACCGUCCACUUUCUGGUUAACUGAUUCCUCUUGUAUUUUAGUCUUCAUUUCUUGGCCAACACCAUCUCUGCUUUCUGUAGAUUUUUUUGACGUGGAUGGAAUGGAGUUACUGCACCUUUUCGUAUCUCUAAGUAGCCCUGCAACCUUGGCCUUGUGCUUCCUACCUUGAAGAUGCUCAUCUAGACCUCUCUCAGUAGGAGCACUGACCUGACAGAGGGCACAACUCCACUCCUUGGGCUUGUUCGAAUUCGUCGAAGGAAGCUCUCCAGAACCUGCAGGUAGGGUAGCAGUUUUCUGAUCUGAUCCACAAGGAUUGGAAUUGGGCUUAACCUGCAGGGGUUGACCUCCCUCCACUUUCUGGUCUAAACCAACAACAGUUUUAUUAGCUUUAACUGAUUGAUCUUCUACAUUAGGCUUCAUUUCUUGGUCAGCACUAUCUCUGCUUUCCGUAGCUUUUUUUGAAGUGGAGUUAAUGCACAUCUUCAAAUCUCUAAGUAGUUUUUCCUUGGCCUUGUGCUUUUUACCUUGGAGAUGCACAUCUAGAUCUCUCUCGGUAGUAGCACUGACCUGACAGAGGACACAACUCCACUCCUUGGAUUUGUUUGAACUCGUUGAAGGAAGCUCUCCAGAACCUGCAGGUGGUGUGGCAGCUUUCUUCUUUGAUCCACAAGUAUUGGAAUCGGGCUUAGGCUGGAAACGAUACAGAAACCAUGAUGCCUUAUAUUAGUUAUCACAUCAAUGGUAAAAAUGAAAAAUAUUCCCAGUGAGCUCCAUCAUCUGCUAUUGCAGUGCAGUACAGAUGAAAGAAUUUGUUUACAAAAUAAUAAUGCACAAAUUUUAUUUUAAAUUGUGAAUUCUCAUAAAAGGACGGAAUGUAGAAGUAUAUUUAAAUAGUUGAUACAACCAGAAUCCUUGUUAAUUAACAACAUUUCCAGCACUGAACUACGAAAAUCUUUCCUUCAAAAAACAAGAAAAAAAAGGAAAAUGUUUGAAAAGGAUUCUGAAACACUUUCUUAAUAAGCAGGACAAGAAGAAGAGAUGAUAUUAACACUUACGAGCAUUAUAAUUCAUAAUUUGAGGAAACGGCAUUUCAAUGGAGCCUCCAGCCCAACGCACAUACACGAACACAAGCAAUAAGAUUUAAAAUAAGAAAUUACCGGGAAAAAGAAACAUCAGAA